UACGUAUGGGGCAAGCGUUAUCCGGAUUCAUUGGGCGUAAAGCGCGCGUAGGCGGCUUGUUAAGUCAGGCGUGAAAUCCGGGGGCUCAACCCGCGGCUUGCGUCUGAAACUGGCAGGCUUGAGUCUGGUAGAGGAAAGUGGAAUUCCUGGUGUAGCGGUGAAAUGCGCAGAUAUCAGGAGGAACACCAGUGGCGAAGGCGGCUUUCUGGGCCACGACUGACGCUGAGGCGCGAAAGCUAGGGGAGCGGGCAGGAUUAGAUACCCUGGUAGUCCUAGCCGUAAACGAUGGGCACUAGGUGUGGGGGGUCAUCGACUCCCUCCGUGCCGAAGCUAACGCAUUAAGUGCCCCGCCUGGGGAGUACGGCCGCAAGGCUAAA
rnacentral:rRNA from 1 species